CCACUGCUAGAAAAUAUACAAAUAAUUAUCUUAUAAAAUAUACCCUAAGAGUCUCUUUAGUGUGCAGGAUAACAAGAUAAAAUAUGAUAAAAUUAUCCUAUCCUAAUUAAAUUCAUUGUUUGGUGCACUAAUAGAAAAAGAUAAAUUAAUUAUUUUUUAAUCCUAUCAUACUGAACCUUCCUUAAAUGUCAAACUCGCUUCAUUAAAAUGUUGCAUAUGUAUUAAAUGUAUGGGAGCUUACUUUUUUAUUGUUCGACAAUCUCAUACUAAGACCAUUCAUAGCAUAUCACCUCAAAUUGGAUGCUUAAAUGGGUCAUCUGUGUUCACAUCACUCAUUAUACGGUACUACUUAAUAAACACCAGUUUUCUUCAACCCAACACCUCAAAAGAAAUUAUUAAAUAGGUUCGACAAAUAAUUCUAAAUCAUUACAUUUCAACAAAAUUUGUUAAAUGGGACAUGCGAAAAAUGAAGAGAGAGAUGAUGCUUCCUUAGCCACCUUUGUCCAUAAGCACCCAUAUAUUAUACUCUAUAAUGAAGAUGCAUGUUUAAUGUGGUACUAAAUAAAUGAAGCACUUACCAUUGUGGAUGGUCUAAAUAUUCAUUAGUUAAUGUUGUUUAUAGAUUCCUGUCAAAAUUAAAAUCAACGCUAAGAAUUUAUACAUAUUCAACAUUUAUAAAAGAGUUUAAUGUGCAUGUUUGAGAUACUUUUUAAAGCUUGUUAAUCUUGAGGAAAAGGUCAAUAACCUCCAAGACCUUAAACCCCAAACCCUAUUUGAUCCAACUAUGGCAAAAGGCAUUUAUUUUGUCACCAGUAUUUGAUUCAAAUAGAGUUGGCGGGGGUUCCAUUUGCACUUUACUUUCUAAUUUGUCAAUCUUUGAACACAUCAUCUAUCAUCUAUGUAAUAAAGUUAUUGAACUUGCCUCUUUUCAAGGAUGAUAUCCUCAUAAAACCAUAUGCACUUAGAUAUCUCCACUAUUUUCCUCAUCAUGUAAUUCAAGCUUCUGCUGCCACCUUCCUUUCUGUGCUAAUAUAAUAAUUCAGAUUAUAUAAUUUAAAAGUUCCUUAAACUUAGUUUGUUUCAUAUAAU
rnacentral:lncRNA from 1 species